UUCUGUGAUCACAAAAAGGUGAAAUUCUGGACUGACACAUGGAAGAUAUGGAAUGAUAACAGAAGAAUGUGACUUUGGGUUGUACCGUGUAUUUUUUUCAUGUAGCUUUAUUAUUUAGUAUAAAUGAAGGCAAGUGUGUGUUCUGUUCUUCAUCUCUGCAGUCGUGUGUUCCCUGAUAGUCAAUGAUUGCUGGAGCUCUGGAAAUAGCAGGUGAGAUUGCAGGCCGGAGUCGCGUCACUGUCCAAGGAACCAAAAUCAACCUCCUCUACUCCUGAGACCACAGUGUGACUGAGAGCCUAGACUACAUGGCUACUUGGAACAUGAACAUGUUGCAGACACAGGAUCUUAUGAAGUCAGCGCAGGCAGCCCUGGAAAAGAAGAGUCCGAAAGACGUGCCCUUCUCCAAGCUUUAAAGGAGAAGAUCCAGGGCUGUUGAAGCUGCGGUGGAACUGAGACAUCAUCAUCCGCAUAUCUUUAGUUCUUCUUGCUAAGUCUGUUUCUUUUUAGUCUUUUUAUUUUUAGACUGGUCAAAAGACUGAUUAGUGGAAGUGAAAUGAUAGAUGAACUUUUAAUUACUUGCUUUAUUAUUUGCAGGUGCCUUGUACAGUAAGACAGGGUAACUAAUACUCAAAAGCUUGUUUUGUGUGUUAACAUGUAAAGUAGAUGUACAUAUUUCUUCUGGUCCUGUGUGACUGCAGAAUGUAGUGCAGUUAACACAUUAAAUUUACUUGGAUGCUCACUUUUAACUCGUGGAGGUCACAGUUUGCCCAGACAUCUUUUUUUAAAUCCGUCAAUCCGUCACCCACACGUCAUUCUGGGGGACGAAGAGGAGGAAGCUGGACAGAUAAAUUUAUUUAUUUAUUUAUCAUUGCUGUGUUUCCUCAAUCGAGUGCAGAAAGAAGAAAAACAACACAACUGAUUUAAAAUAAAAAUAUAGAAAACAAUCUAAUGUAAGGUUCUGAUCCGGUUUGCUUUCAGCAGGAAGGCUGUCCUCUUUCCUGUUGCUCUUUCUCUUCUAUUAGUCCAUUUGUCCAGUCUGAAUCGGUUUUGAUUCGUUUCGAGACGAUUCGGAGUCGAAUAAUUUUCUAGUGAGAGUCGCACACUUCCAAACGAACUAGACUGAGAUGAGUAUUUGAUUCUCACUAGAAAGUGAUUCGACUCUGAAUAAACUCGAAAUGAAUCAGUCAAACUGAUUCAGACUCUAUAAAAGGACUAUGAGAUGUGAUUAAGAUAUAUAUUCCAAUGUUUUGCUUUACAAUUCCAUUGUGUGUGUGUGUGUGUGUGUGUGUGUGUGUGUGUGUGUGUGUGUAUAUGUGUGUGCGUGCGCGCGCACGUGUGUUUUUCAGGAGAACGAGAAACUCGGACACAACAGUACAUCCUGACCAUUGGUACUGUGUACACAUCAACAUACACACACGUCUCCAUGCUGGACAUCUCAGGAGCUUUCACACACAGUGCUAGGAAUAUCCCGGGACAGAGAAACGCACCUUCUAAGUGAGCGAGUUUAGCGUCAACCGGUGAAAUUUGCUGUAGCGUGAACACUUUGCCUCUGUGAGCUUCACUCUCCGUAGGGUUCACUGUAAUUAGACAUAAAAUUUACAUAGUUUAUUUUUCAUGCAUUUAGGAUUUCAUGUUUUUUUUUUUUUUUUUUUACUCUUCGAGGAAAAGAAAUGAUCUUUCGAGGCAGCUUCUUCAUCACUACCUGCUCCGUUUGACUCAAAAAUGUAACGACCGGUUUCAAAAAGUCACGAUGUCUUCAGUUCAUGUGAUUUUACUGUUGAAUUUAAACAGGAAAUGUGAAAUAUUUUUCCCUUUGUUUCCUCUACUGUCUUUUUGCUGUGAUCUUGAACACAGUUGUAAUUUAAAAAAAUAAAAAUAAAUAAAUGAUCAUUCUAGUUCUCUCACUUUCCUUGUCCUAAUUGUCCUGUAUCUGUUAAAUCCGUUUCAUCUCUGGUCUUUCUGUCUGUAUGAACACUUGUAGAAAUGACUUGUAGUCCAUAUUUUUAAAUGAUUCGUGAUUUUGAAUUUAAAUAAAGAUAUUCUUUAA